CCUAGACUAGGACUGUGCUGGGCAUGUUAGAGUAUGAUGUAGCUGCAAGAGAGUGAACAAAGGGCAAAGGAGGUCAGAGAGGUAGAGAAGGCCUAGAUCAUGUAGAACUUAUCGUUUUUUCACUGACCCGGUGAGGUGGGGGUGGGGGGCAAGCCCCAAGGGGCUCUUGCAUCUGGCGCCAAACACCUGGCUGCACGCCACACAGGCACAACCCGCUCCAGGGACAGUGCCAGGUGGAGAGUUUAACUGGGGCAGUACACUGUCAAACAGUAACGCAAGUGUCCUAAGGUGAGCUCAGGGAGCACAGAAACCUCCAGUGGAAUAGAAGGGCAAAAGCUCAUUUGAUCCUGAUUUUCAGUAUGAAUACAGACCGUGAAAACAGGGCUUCACAAUCCUUCAGACCUUUUGGGUUUUAAGCAGGUGUCAGAAAAGUUACCAUAGG
rfam:Gorilla gorilla gorilla genomic chromosome, chr8, whole genome shotgun sequence